GUAGGGAAUAUUGCACAAUGGGCGAAAGCCUGAUGCAGCAACGCCGCGUGCGCGAAGAAGGCCUUCGGGUUGUAAAGCGCUUUUCUGGGAGAUGAGGAAGGACAGUAUCCCAGGAAUAAGGCUCGGCUAACUACGUGCCAGCAGCCGCGGUAAAACGUAGGAGCCAAGCGUUAUCCGAAUUCACUGGGCGUAAAGCGCGUGCAGGCGGCCUGAUAAGUUGGAUGUGAAAUCUCCUGGCUCAACUGGGAGAGGCCGUUCAAUACUGUUGGGCUAGAGGGCGACAGAGGGAGGUGGAAUUCCGGGUGUAGUGGUGAAAUGCGUAGAUAUCCGGAGGAACACCAGAGGCGAAGGCGACCUCCUGGGUCGCACCUGACGCUCAGACGCGAAAGCUAGGGGAGCGAACGGGAUUAGAAACCCUUGUAGUCC
rnacentral:rRNA from 1 species